rnacentral:tRNA from 1 species
GCCUGGAUAGCUCAGUUGGUUAGAACGUGGUGCUGAUAAUGCCAAGGUUGCAGGUUCAAUGAGACAGCUACAUAUUCCCACAUUGCAGGGGGUUGGACU